CGGGAGAAGUACCGGGACAGCGUCCCGAGGGCCGGGGCGAACACCAGGGCCCAGCCAGAGCCUGCGAACCGACAGGACCAGGUGAGGACAGGGAGCUAGGGCAUGCGCCGCAGUGAUCCCAGCCCUGACCCUCGCAGGAGGCCCCACCCCCUUGGCCUCCAGCCCCCAGGAAGCGCCCCUCUCCAACAUCACCCCUAAAGGACCCGGGUGUCCCGCUCCCCUCACCAGCAAGGACGCCCAGGCCGAGGUAGAGGUGCAGCAGACUGCGGGCGAAAGCCGAGAAGACGAAGCCCAACGAGCUCUCAAGGGCCAAGCGGAAGAGGAUUCCCCUGUUUUGAGGAGCUGUAGUGUGCCAGGCACUUGAUGCAGGUCACCUGUUCAUGCUCACAUGAAACGGCUGAAGAAGACGCCAUGCCCAUUUUACAGACGAAGUCACCGAGGAAUAGAGUGAUUAGGUGCCUCGUCCCCAAAGCACCCAGCUUAAAGAUGGUGGAAAUAUUUGAAUUUGGAUCUGUCCAAGUGCAGAGGGUACCAGAGAACAGCAAUAGGACUGAAACAGAAUGCCACAGUGGAGGGAAUGGCCUGGGGGCAGUUUGAUGCCUAAUUGGCCUGGAAAUGGCAGGGCCUUUGCAGGGCCAGGGCGUUUACGAUUCUAAGAGAAGGGUCACUGGGAAAAAGGAAGGAUCCAGAGGAUCGGAACCACUGAAGACUCAGAUUCAGAUUUUAAAAAGCAAAGUAAGAAAUCCGAGAAGUGAACCCAAAGCAUUAAUUUCUCAGCAAACUUUAUUUAAAAGUAUCCUUUUUACCUCAGGGUUACUUUACUUCAGCUGUUUGAAUCAAGAGAUGUGCUUUUUGGUUUAAUUGUUACACAGUAGCAGAAAAUUUGGCAAUUUACAGUUUGGAGCCAACCUCCCUGAGAGCCACAUGGUGGCAGUGUUUCCUAGUUGUUGAGAACGUAUCUGCAACUCGAGUAAAACAACCACAUUUCUCUGCUUUGGAUAUUAGGCUUUGCCUGCCCCAAAGUGCACUCCCUCCACCCCCGCAUCCCAUCUCCCUCCUCUCUCUCCUGUGCCCUUCUGAUAGCCCUAAGCGCCUCACCUGCUCCAAGGACACGCCUAGCUUUUCCUUACCCCUGAAUUUGUACAUCUGGGCUCCCCUCUCCUUGAAAUGUCCUGGAUGGAGAACAGGAGUCCCUGAGGGUUGCCAGCUGCCAUGUACACCCUAGGAAAGUGAUCUCACUGGUUUCUGGGCUCCUAUUAUGGGAGAUACCUGGCAGGUGAAGCUGGAGGAGCAGGAAGCUCACGUCCUGAACUGGCUGCUGAGGACUCAGUCCCAAGCAGAGCCCUCCCCCCGCCCCGCCCCCCAAACAAAUCACACCCUCUGCACCAUGGAGUAAACAUGUAGUGCAAAGAAGAGACUGGGCUUCCUGGGUCUAGGAGACGUACAAAGUGACACCAAGCAUCUUUACGGGUUACUUAUGAACCCAGAGGGCAUCCCAGAGCCUGGGAGUGGGGUCCUCACUGGUGAUGCAGUGAAACACCCUGCAAGAGCAGUCAUGGCCUGUCCCCACCCACUGCCAAUCUGCAGUGGGCGCCUCCCUUGGGACAGUACUGAGCCAGAGACUCUUGAAACGAGCAGACCCAGGGCCUGGUGCUCCUCGGGAUGGGGCGGAAUCAAAAGGAGCAGCUCUAAGGGACCAGCCUGCCCACGUGGAGAAAGCCCCAAAAACAGAUGCUGAGCCAGAGCAGCUCACCCAGAGACCAGACUUUGGGAAGUCAACCUAGACCUCAAGGGCCAGACCCAGGGCCUGGAAAAGUGGGAGAAAACAGAGCAUAAAGGUCAGGAUUCAUGGUUCGGAGCCAGGGCAGCACAUCUGCUGAGAUGCUCUGGGAAGAGGGUGUAACGAAGCAUGGGGGCAGCAGGGGGGGCACCCACGGGGCUCCAUGUGUGCAGGGAACCAGUCCGCUUGGGUGGCCGUGUAUGAAUGAAGAUCUGAGCUAGGCCCCCCACCCCCACCCCCCCAAAUGGUGGGGGGA